rnacentral:rRNA from 1 species
AGUGAACGCUGGCGGUAGGCCUAACACAUGCAAGUCGAACGGCAGCACAGUAAGAGCUUGCUCUUACGGGUGGCGAGUGGCGGACGGGUGAGGAAUACAUCGGAAUCUACUUUUUCGUGGGGGAUCACGUAGGGAAACUUACGCUAAUACCGCAUACGACCUACGGGUGAAAGCAGGGGAUCUUCGGACCUUGCGCGAUUGAAUGAGCCGAUGUCGGAUUAGCUAGUUGGCGGGGUAAAGGCCCACCAAGGCGACGAUCCGUAGCUGGUCUGAGAGGAUGAUCAGCCACACUGGAACUGAGACACGGUCCAGACUCCUACGGGAGGCAGCAGUGGGGAAUAUGAGACAAUGGGCGCAAGCCUGAUCCAGCCAGACCGCGUGGGUGAAGAAGGCCUUCGGGUUGUAAAGCCCUUUUGUUGGGAAAGAAAAGCAGCAGGUUAAUACCCCGCUGUUCUGACGGUACCCAAAGAAUAAGCACCGGCUAACUUCGUG